rnacentral:tRNA from 1 species
AAGAAGACUUAUCGAAGCUGCUAACUUUGAUUUGGGAGUAUACAUCUUCCUCUUCUAU